rnacentral:rRNA from 1 species
UACGUAGGGGGGCAAGCGUUGUCCGGAUUUAUUGGGCGUAAAGAGCGUGUAGGCGGCCAGGUAGGUCCGUUGUGAAAACUCGAGGCUCAACCUCGAGACGCCGAUGGAAACCAUCUGGCUAGAGUCCGGAAGAGGAGAGUGGAAUUCCUGGUGUAGCGGUGAAAUGCGCAGAUAUCAGGAAGAACACCCGUGGCGAAGGCGGCUCUCUGGGACGUGACUGACGCUGAGACGCGAAAGCGUGGGGAGCGAACAGG